rnacentral:piRNA from 1 species
UAGGUGGCAACGUACAUACUGUGCAUGU